AUUGCUUCUUGGCCUUUUGGCUAAGAUCAAGUGUAUAUCUGAUAUUCUAUCUUCAGAUUCCCUUAAUCUGCUGUGGAUACUUUCAAUGGAGUUUUUGAUCUCCUGAAUAUCU
rnacentral:snRNA from 1 species